AACGAACGCUGGCGGCGUGUUUAAGACAUGCAAGUCGCACGGUGUCAUUUUGGUAGCAAUACUUGAAUGGCAUAGUGGCGCACGGGUGAGUAACACGUGAAUUACAUGCCCUGUAGAGGGGGAUAGCCCAGGGAAACUUGGAUUAAUACCCCAUGGUCUCGCAAGAGUAAAGGUGGCCGCAAGGCUGUCGCUACAGGAUUGGUUCGCGCCCUAUCAGCUUGUUGGCGGGGUAACGGCCCACCAAGGCUACGACGGGUACCUGGUCUGAGAGGACGAUCAGGCACACUGGAACUGAGACACGGUCCAGACACCUACGGGUGGCAGCAGUCGAGAAUAAUUCACAAUGGGGGCAACCCUGAUGGUGCAACGCCGCGUGGAGGAUGACGGUCUUCGGAUUGUAAACUCCUGUCAUCCGGGAGUAAGACCUGGGAGUUAAUAGCUCACAGGGUUGAUAGUACCGGAAGAGGAAGGGACGGCUAACUUCGUGCCAGCAGCCGCCGUAAGAC
rnacentral:rRNA from 1 species